CCGCUUUGGCAGCGGACAGACUAAAUCUGAAACGGUAGUGGGAACAUCAGCAUAGUCCCUGCGUAAGGAUGACGUGUGAAUUCGCGAAACGUUCUAUAUUUUU